rnacentral:rRNA from 1 species
UACGUAGGGUGCAGGCGUUAAUCGGAAUUACUGGGCGUAAAGCGUGCGCAGGCGGUUUGCUAAGACAGGUGUGAAAUCCCCCGGGCUUAACCUGGGAACUGCAUUUGUGACUGGCGGACUGGAGUAUGGGCAGAGGGGGGGUAGAAUUCCACGUGUAGCAGUGAAAUGCGUAGAGAUGGUGGAGGAAUACCGAUGGCGAAGGCGGGUCUCUGGGCCGCAACUGACGCUGAGGCGCGAAAGCGUGGGGAGCAAACAGG